rnacentral:rRNA from 1 species
UACGUAGGUGGCGAGCGUCGUCCGGAUUUAUUGGGUUUAAAGGGUGCGUAGGCGGCCCUGUAAGUCAGUGCUGAAAUAUCCCGGCUUAACUGGAAGGGUGGCAUUGAUACUGCGGGGCUAGAGUACAGAUGAGGUAGGCGGAAUUGACGGUGUAGCGGUGAAAUGCUUAGAUAUCGUCAAGAACACCUAUAGCGAAGGCAGCUUACUAGGCUGUAACCGACGCUGAGGCACGAAAGCGUGGGGAGCAAACAGG